ACAGGCUUAACACAUGCAAGUCGAGGGGCAUCAGGAAGAAAGCUUGCUUUCUUUGCUGGCGACCGGCGCACGGGUGAGUAACACGUAUCCAACCUGCCCUUUACUCGGGGAUAGCCUUUCGAAAGAAAGAUUAAUACCCGAUAGCAUAAUGAUUCCGCAUGGUUUCAUUAUUAAAGGAUUCCGGUAAAGGAUGGGGAUGCGUUCCAUUAGGUUGUUGGUGAGGUAACGGCCCACCAAGCCUUCGAUGGAUAGGGGUUCUGAGAGGAAGGUCCCCCACAUUGGAACUGAGACACGGUCCAAACUCCUACGGGAGGCAGCAGUGAGGAAUAUUGGUCAAUGGGCGCUAGCCUGAACCAGCCAAGUAGCGUGAAGGAUGAAGGCUCUAUGGGUCGUAAACUUCUUUUAUAUAAGAAUAAAGUGCAGUAUGUAUACUGUUUUGUAUGUAUUAUAUGAAUAAGGAUCGGCUAACUCCGCGCCAGCAGCCGCGGUAAUACGGAGGAUCCGAGCGUUAUCCGGAUUUAUUGGGUUUAAAGGGAGCGUAGGUGGACUGGUAAGUCAGUUGUGAAAGUUUGCGGCUCAACCGUAAAAUUGCAGUUGAUACUGUCAGUCUUGAGUACAGUAGAGGUGGGCGGAAUUCGUGGUGUAGCGGUGAAAUGCUUAGAUAUCACGAAGAACUCCGAUUGCGAAGGCAGCUCACUGGACUGCAACUGACACUGAUGCUCGAAAGUGUGGGUAUCAAACAGGAUUAGAUACCCUGGUAGUCCACACAGUAAACGAUGAAUACUCGCUGUUUGCGAUAUACAGUAAGCGGCCAAGCGAAAGCAUUAAGUAUUCCACCUGGGGAGUACGCCGGCAACGGUGAAACUCAAAGGAAUUGACGGGGGCCCGCACAAGCGGAGGAACAUGUGGUUUAAUUCGAUGAUACGCGAGGAACCUUACCCGGGCUUAAAUUGCAGUGGAAUGAUGUGGAAACAUGUCAGUGAGCAAUCACCGCUGUGAAGGUGCUGCAUGGUUGUCGUCAGCUCGUGCCGUGAGGUGUCGGCUUAAGUGCCAUAACGAGCGCAACCCUUAUCUUUAGUUACUAACAGGUUAUGCUGAGGACUCUAGAGAGACUGCCGUCGUAAGAUGUGAGGAAGGUGGGGAUGACGUCAAAUCAGCACGGCCCUUACGUCCGGGGCUACACACGUGUUACAAUGGGGGGUACAGAAGGCAGCUAGCGGGUGACCGUAUGCUAAUCCCAAAAUCCUCUCUCAGUUCGGAUCGAAGUCUGCAACCCGACUUCGUGAAGCUGGAUUCGCUAGUAAUCGCGCAUCAGCCACGGCGCGGUGAAUACGUUCCCGGGCCUUGUACACACCGCCUGUCAAGCCAUGGGAGCCGGGGGUACCUGAAGUACGUAACCGCAAGGAUCGUCCUAGGGUAAAACUGGUGACUGGGGCUAC
rnacentral:rRNA from 1 species